AAUGGGUGUGCAACAAGUCCGCUAUUCUCCAGCAGGAAGGUCAUGGCCGUUGUCUGUAAUGGAGGCAUGAUGGCUGAUCCAAUCAUUUUCCUCUGAUGAUGGUUUUGAUGGCUACCUAUAAUGAACAGCCCCAUCUGAUUUAAGCACUGCGCCGUGACCAUGAACUCUACGGUUACCUCUGUGUGUCACAGGAAGACUCUUAACGAAUGCUCCCAAGUUGACCUAAGCAGUGUUCCACGGUCACCAGGUUUCUGGUUGCCUCUGUGUUGGAAGCUUGGAGACCAAUUACUUCUCAGAACGGGCAGAGCCACGCCUUCUGCGGAGAUCCCUCUCUGCGGUUGCCUCCGGGUGGGAGCCUGGACACUAAUGGAGGAUGGCCCUGGAGCUGAUUUCAGGAUUCUUUGGUAG
rnacentral:lncRNA from 13 species